UACGUAGGGUGCGAGCGUUUAAUCGGAAUUACUGGGCGUAAAGCGUGCGCAGGCUGUUCUGUAAGUCAGAUGUGAAAUCCCCGAGCUCAACUUGGGAACUGCGUUUGAAACUACAGGACUAGAAUAUGUCAGAGGGGGGUAGAAUUCCACGUGUAGCAGUGAAAUGCGUAGAGAUGUGGAGGAAUACCAAUGGCGAAGGCAGCCCCCUGGGAUAAUAUUGACGCUCAUGCACGAAAGCGUGGGGGAGCAAACAGG
rnacentral:rRNA from 1 species